rnacentral:rRNA from 1 species
UACGUAGGGUGUAAGCGUUAAUCGGAAUUACUGGGCGUAAAGCGUGCGCAGGCGGUUUUGUAAGUCAGAUGUGAAAGCCCCGGGCUUAACCUGGGAACUGCGUUUGAAACUGGGAGACUUGAGUGUGGCAGAGGGGGGUGGAAUUCCACGUGUAGCAGUGAAAUGCGUAGAUAUGUGGAGGAACACCGAUGGCGAAGGCAGCCCCCUGGGUUAACACUGACGCUCAUGCACGAAAGCGUGGGGAGCAAACAGG